rfam:Tortispora caseinolytica NRRL Y-17796 unplaced genomic scaffold CANCAscaffold_1, whole genome shotgun sequence.
GGGCAUGUGGCGCAGUUGGUAGUCGCGCCAGUUUUGCAUACUGGAGGUCUCCGGUUCAAACCCGGACUUGUCCA